rnacentral:rRNA from 1 species
UACGUAGGGUGCAAACGUUGCUCGGAAUCAUUGGGCGUAAAGCGCACGUAGGCGGACCGCUAAGUCGGAUGUGAAAGCCCUCGGCUUAACCGAGGAAGUGCAUUCGAAACUGACGGUCUUGAGUAUGGAAGAGGGUCGCGGAAUUCCCGGUGUAGAGGUGAAAUUCGUAGAUAUCGGGAGGAACACCAGUGGCGAAGGCGGCGACCUGGGCCAAUACUGACGCUGAGGUGCGAAAGCGUGGGGAGCAAACAGG